ACAAGUGCCAGGCCCUGUGCUGAGCGCUCCGCAUACAACGUCUUACUCAAUCCUCACAAGUGCUUUCGUUAUUAGACGUGUACAUGAGCAAGCAGCAGAAACAAGACCCAAACUGGCUUAAGCAAGAGGAGAUUCUGCUGGCUCACACAACCGCGGGCUUCCCUCAUGGCUGCGAGAUGGCCACCAGGAACAGCCGGACAGAAUGCUUCUGAUUCCUGUCCAGCAGGAGAGAGACUGACCUUUCCAGGGCUUGCUUUCCAGAAUGAGGAAGAGGCCUUCCCAAAAGCUGCAACUUGCAGAUGGCAGAUCACGGGACUUCUUGGCCUCUAUCAUCACGUGAACCAAUUUUCAUAAUAAAUCUCCUCAUCUGUAUACACA